rnacentral:rRNA from 1 species
UGCCAGCAGCCGCGGUAAUACAGAGGGUGCAAGCGUUAAUCGGAAUUACUGGGCGUAAAGCGCGCGUAGGCGGUUAGAUAAGUCAGAUGUGAAAGCCCCGGGCCUAGCCUGGGAACUGCAUUUGAUACUGGAAGUCUAGAGUAUGGUAGAGGGAAGUGGAAUUUCCGGUGUAGCGGUGAAAUGCAUAGAUAUCGGAAGGAACACCAGUGGCGAAGGCGGCUUCCUGGACUAAUACUGACACUGAGGUGCGAAAGCGUGGGUAGCAAACAGGAUUAGAUA